CCACUGCUGACGAGUCCCACAAUAGGACGAAACGGCCGUCCAGUGC
rnacentral:hammerhead_ribozyme from 1 species